GGGGAUUUAGCUCAGUGGUAGAGCGCUUGCCUAGGAAGCGCAAGGCCCGGGUUCGAUCCCCAGCUCCG
rfam:Rattus norvegicus chromosome X, whole genome shotgun sequence.